CAACAAACCAACCAAUGGUCACACUACAAGUGCAACCUCCUAGCUUGCUGCCUAUAAAAAUCAAGAAACCUCCUCGAAUUCAGUUUGUGCUGGAAACUUAAACCCCACCUAACUGUCUAGUUCUGCCUGUGUGUGAUCCCAAAAAGAGAGAUUUUUCUGACAAAAAUGGGUGCAGCAACUUGCAUAGAUAUUAUUCUGGCCAUUCUUCUGCCUCCUCUUGGUGUCUUCCUUAAAUUUGGCUGCAAGGUUGUCCUUUCUUUUCCUCUCUUUAUGUUUUUCUUAAUUACUAAUGAAUUAUGAUGUCCUAUUUAUAGAUUAUGUGCGUUAUCGAUAUUCGGUUUUCCUCACUCUUUCCACACUUCUUUGACAGAGGGUUGUCGAAUAACAUCAUACUAAAUUGAUUAACAAAACUAUACAUCAGAGACUUAAUUCCUCUAGCCUUUAAUGUGUUGAUCUUCUUUUUUUGCCGAACGUCAAUAAUCCGUAAUUUUUCCCCUAUUUAGUAAGGGGAAGAUGUCUUUUGAAGUUGAGCUCUAUUGUCUAUACUUUCUAGCGAUUUUAGAGAAGUUGCUAAUAAUUUUUUUCUUCUUAAAUUUUGAUGCAGCAUGAAUUCUGGAUAUGUUUGUUGCUUACCAUCUUGGGCUAUAUUCCUGGAAUCAUUUAUGCUAUUUAUGCCAUCACCAAGUAUUGAUGGAUCCUUUCCUGGUAAUUAAUUACUCAUAAAUCCUCUUUUAUUUCUUAAUUUUUCUUGUAAUUCAAUGAAUUCACCCCAAUCUUUUCUUAAAGAGCUGAAUCUUUAAAAUCUAAUGAAGUUAGUAUCAUAUUCUUUGAUUAUUGACAGGUGGAGAUGGCGAGGCUAUAUAAAUCUUAUUGCUAAUUAGUGUGUCAUGGAGUGAUUUGUUUAAAAGUUUUUAUCUUGCUUUAAUUCAUUCUGUAAAAGUCAUUAUGUAGUGUGUGACUUCUUCAACUUUUAUUGUAAGUAAUUACUUUGAUUUGAUCAGCGUCUUCUUUUAGCUUACCUAAUACUCAUUCUAAUUAUGCACAUAUUUACAUUAUUUGUUGCAUAAAGUAUUUAGAUUUUUUUUUACAUCGAUCGAUGCCGUUCUAUCAUAUCGUAUCGUUAAUAAUUUUUAAAUAUUUUUGUUUAUUUUAUAAUAUUCAUGGG
rnacentral:lncRNA from 1 species